rnacentral:rRNA from 1 species
CCUACGGGAGGCUGCAGUGAGGAAUAUUGGUCAAUGGACGCAAGUCUGAACCAGCCAUGCCGCGUGCAGGAAGACGGCUCUAUGAGUUGUAAACUGCUUGUGUACGAGGGUAAACGCAGAUACGCGUAUCUGUCUGAAAGUAUCGUACGAAUAAGGAUCGGCUAACUCCGGGCCAGCAGCCGCGGUAAUACGGAGGAUUCAAGCGUUAUCCGGAUUUAUUGGGUUUAAUGGGUGCGUAGGCGGUCGGAUAAGUCAGAGGUGAAAGCCCGAGGCUCAACUUCGGAAUUGCCUUUGAUACUGGUCGGCUAGAGUGUGGUAGCGGGAGGCGGAAUGUAUGGUGUAGCGGUGAAAUGCUUAGAGAUCAGGCAGAACACCGAUUGCGAAGGCAGCUUACCGGGCUACUUCUGACGUUGAGGCACGAAAGCGUGGGGAGCAAACAGGAUUAGAUACCCUGGUAGUC